rnacentral:rRNA from 1 species
UCGGGAAUUUUGGGCAAUGGGCGAAAGCCUGACCCAGCAACGCCGCGUGAAGGAUGAAGUAUUUCGGUAUGUAAACUUCGAAAGAAUAGGAAGAAUAAAUGACGGUACUAUUUAUAAGGUCCGGCUAACUACGUGCCAGCAGCCGCGGUAAUACGUAGGGACCAAGCGUUGUUCGGAUUUACUGGGCGUAAAGGGCGCGUAGGCGGCAAUUCAAGUCAUCUGUGAAAUCUCCGGGCUUAACUCGGAACGGUCAGAUGAUACUGCUUUGCUAGAGUGCAGAAGGGGCAAUCGGAAUUCUUGGUGUAGCGGUGAAAUGCGUAGAUAUCAAGAGGAACACCUGAGGUGAAGACGGGUUGCUGGGCUGACACUGACGCUGAGGCGCGAAAGCCAGGGGAGCAAACGGGGAUU